rnacentral:rRNA from 1 species
UUUUAUUUGAGAGUUUGAUCCUGGCUCAGGAUGAACGCUGGCGGCGUGCCUAACACAUGCAAGUUGAGCGAUUUACUUCGGUAAAGAGCGGCGGACGGGUGAGUAACGCGUGGGUAACCUACCCUGUACACACGGAUAACAUACCGAAAGGUAUGCUAAUACGGGAUAAUAUAUUUGAGAGGCAUCUCUUGAAUAUCAAAGGUGAGCCAGUACAGGAUGGACCCGCGUCUGAUUAGCUAGUUG